GACGAACGCUGGCGGCGUGCUUAACACAUGCAAGUCGAACGAUGAUGCCCAGCUUGCUGGGUGGAUUAGUGGCGAACGGGUGAGUAACACGUGAGUAACCUGCCCCUGACUCUGGGAUAAGCGUUGGAAACGACGUCUAAUACUGGAUAUGACUGCCGGCCGCAUGGUCUGGUGGUGGAAAGAUUUUUUGGUUGGGGAUGGACUCGCGGCCUAUCAGCUUGUUGGUGAGGUAAUGGCUCACCAAGGCGACGACGGGUAGCCGGCCUGGGAGGGUGACCGGCCACACUGGGACUGGGACACGGCCCAGACUCCUACGGGAGGCAGCAGUGGGGAAUAUUGCACAAUGGGCGAAAGCCUGAUGCAGCAACGCCGCGUGAGGGAUGACGGCCUUCGGGUUGUAAACCUCUUUUAGUAGGGAAGAAGCGAAAGUGACGGUACCUGCAGAAAAAGCACCGGCUAACUACGUGCCAGCCGCCGCAGUAA
rnacentral:rRNA from 1 species